UGGGGAAUAUUGGACAAUGGGGGAAACCCUGAUCCAGCGAUGCCACGUGUGUGAAGAAGGCCUUAGGGUUGUAAAGCACUUUUGUUGGGGAGGAAGGCGCAGUAGAGGAAUAUGCUAUUGUGUUGACGUUAACCAAAGAAAAAGCACCGGCUAACUCUGUGCCAGCAGCCGCGGUAAUACAGAGGGUGCAAGCGUUAAUCGGAAUUACUGGGCGUAAAGCGCUCGUAGGUGGAAUAGCAAGUCCGUCGUAAAAUAUCCGGGCUCAACCUGGGGAUGUCGAUAGAAACUAUUAUUCUAGAGUAUUGGAGAGGGUAGAGGAAUUUCUGGUGUAGCGGUGAAAUGCGUAGAUAUCAGAAGGAACAUCAGUGGCGAAGGCGUCUACCUGGCCAAAUACUGACAC
rnacentral:rRNA from 1 species